rnacentral:rRNA from 1 species
UACGUAGGGUGCGAGCGUUGUCCGGAAUUACUGGGCGUAAAGAGCUCGUAGGUGGUUUGUCGCGUUGUCCGUGAAAUUCCCUGGCUUAACUGGGGGCGUGCGGGCGAUACGGGCAGACUGGAGUACUGCAGGGGAGACUGGAAUUCCUGGUGUAGCGGUGGAAUGCGUAGAUAUCAAGAGGAACACCAGUGGCGAAAGGCGGCUCACUGGCUCAUUACUGACGCUCAU